rnacentral:rRNA from 1 species
GAUGAACGCUGGCGGCGUGCCUAAUACAUGCAAGUCGAGCGAACAGACGAGGAGCUUGCUCCUCUGACGUUAGCGGCGGACGGGUGAGUAACACGUGGAUAACCUACCUAUAAGACUGGGAUAACUUCGGGAAACCGGAGCUAAUACCGGAUAAUAUAUUGAACCGCAUGGUUCAAUAGUGAAAGACGGUUUUGCUGUCACUUAUAGAUGGAUCCGCGCCGCAUUAGCUAGUUGGUAAGGUAACGGCUUACCAAGGCAACGAUGGGUAGCCGACCUGAGAGGGGGAUCGGCCACACGGGAAGUGGGACACGGUCCAGAGGCCUGAGGGAGGCAGCAGUAGGGAACCUGCCGCAAUGGGCGAAAGCAUGACGGAGCAACGGCGCGUGAGUGAUGAAGGUCUUGGGAUCGUAAAACUCUGUUACUAGGGAAGAACAAAUGUGUAAGUAAAUAUGCACGUCUGGACGGUAACUAAUCAGAAAGCCACGGCUAACUAAGUG